GCGUAAAGCGCACGCAGGCGGUCUGUUAAGUCAGAUGUGAAAUCCCCGGGCUUAACCUGGGAACUGCAUUUGAAACUGGCAGGCUUGAGUCUCGUAGAGGGGGGUAGAAUUCCAGGUGUAGCGGUGAAAUGCGUAGAGAUCUGGAGGAAUACCGGUGGCGAAGGCGGCCCCCUGGACGAAGACUGACGCUCAGGUGCGAAAGCGUGGGGAGCAAACAGGAUUAGAUACCCUGGUAGUCCACGCCGUAAACGAUGUCGACUUGGAGGUUGUGCCCUUGAGGCGUGGCUUCCGGAGCUAACGCGUUAAGUCGACCGCCUGGGGAGUACGGCCGCAAGGUUAAAACUCAAAUGAAUUGACGGGGGCCCGCACAAGCGGUGGAGCAUGUGGUUUAAUUCGAUGCAACGCGAAGAACCUUACCUGGCCUUGACAUCCAGAGAACUUAGCAGAGAUGCUUUGGUGCCUUCGGGAACUCUGAGACAGGUGCUGCAUGGCUGUCGUCAGCUCGUGUUGUGAAAUGUUGGGUUAAGUCCCGCAACGAGCGCAACCCUUAUCCUUUGUUGCCAGCGGUUCGGCCGGGAACUCACAGGAGACUGCCGGUGAUAAACCGGAGGAAGGUGGGGAUGAC
rnacentral:rRNA from 1 species